UACGGAGGGUGCAAGCGUUAUCCGGAUUCACUGGGUUUAAAGGGUGCGUAGGAGGGCAGGUAAGUCAGUGGUGAAAUCUCCGAGCUUAACUCGGAACUGCCGUUGAUACUAUCUGUCUUGAAUCCCGUGGAGAUGAGCGGAAUAUGUCAUGUAGCGGUGAAAUGCUUAGAUAUGACAUAGAACACCAAUUGCGAAGGCAGCUCGUUACACGAAGAUUGACUCUGAGGCACGAAAGCGUGGGGAUCAAACAGG
rnacentral:rRNA from 1 species